UACGUAGGGGGCAAGCGUUGUCCGGAAUCAUUGGGCGUAAAGGGCGCGUAGGUGGCGCGGUAAGCGUGCGGUGAAAGCCUGGGGCUCAACCCCGGGUCGGCCGUGCGAACUGCUGGGCUUGAGCACUGUAGAGGCAGGCGGAAUUCCGGGUGUAGCGGUGGAAUGCGUAGAGAUCCGGAAGAACACCGGUGGCGAAGGCGGCCUGCUGGGCAGUUGCUGACACUGAGGCGCGACAGCGUGGGGAGCAAACAGG
rnacentral:rRNA from 1 species